UACGGAGGGUGCAAGCGUUAUCCGGAUUCACUGGGCUUAAAGGGUGCGUAGGUGGGUUGGUAAGUCAGUGGUGAAAUCCCCGAGCUUAACUUGGGAACUGCCAUUGAUACUAUCAGUCUUGAAUACCGUGGAGGUCAGCGGAAUAUGUCAUGUAGCGGUGAAAUGCUUAGAUAUGACAUAGAACACCAAUUGCGAAGGCAGCUGGCUACACGAGUAUUGACACUGAGGCACGAAAGCGUGGGGAUCAAACAGG
rnacentral:rRNA from 1 species